GGUUCUAUAAAUUGGUAAGCAUCCAUUAUCAUUUCAUAUAUUUUAAAUUUUCUCAAUUUAUUCUUUUUAUAAUAUGUAGGUCAUGCAAGGGGGUGAAUGUAUACUUAAGAAGCUAAGACCAUUGGGUUAUAGGCCAAUAAAUACAUUACAUAUUAUAAUGAUUGUAAUGUAAAUGAUUUUAAAUUUUACACCCAGCGAUAUGGAUAUCAUAAGAGCACAUGAAUAGCAGUGUGUGCAUAAAGGAUAGCUAGUGGGAGGAGAUGGAGAGUGACU
rnacentral:lncRNA from 1 species